rnacentral:rRNA from 1 species
UGGGGAAUAUUGCACAAUGGGCGAAAGCCUGAUGCAGCAACGCCGCGUGAGUGAUGAAGGUCUUCGGAUUGUAAAGCUCUGUCUUUUGGGACGAUAAUGACGGUACCAAAGGAGGAAGCCACGGCUAACUACGUGCCAGCAGCCGCGGUAAUACGUAGGUGGCGAGCGUUGUCCGGAUUUACUGGGCGUAAAGGGUGCGUAGGCGGAUGUUUAAGUGAGAUGUGAAAUACCCGGGCUUAACUUGGGUGCUGCAUUUCAAACUGGAUAUCUAGAGUGCAGGAGAGGAGAAUGGAAUUCCUAGUGUAGCGGUGAAAUGCGUAGAGAUUAGAAGAACACCAGUGGCGAAGGCGAUUCUCUGGACUGUAACUGACGCUGAGGCACGAAAGCGUGGGUAGCAAACAGGAUUAGAUACCCUGGUAGUCCACGCCGUAAACGAUGAGUACUAGGUGUAGGAGGUAUCGACCCCUUCUGUGCCGCAGUAAACACAUUAAGUACUCCGCCUGGGAAGUACGAUCGCAAG